AUACGGAGGAUGCGGGCGUUAUCCGGAUUUAUUGGGUUUAAAGGGUGCGUAGGUGGUAGAUUAAGUCAGCGGUGAAAGUUUGUCGCUCAACGAUAAAAUUGCCGUUGAUACUGGUUUACUUGAGUAUAGUUGAAGUAGGCGGAAUGCGUGGUGUAGCGGUGAAAUGCAUAGAUAUCACGCAGAACUCCGAUUGCGAAGGCAGCUUACUAAGUUAUAACUGACACUGAAGCACGAAAGCGUGGGUAUCAAACUGGAUUAGAUACCCUGGUAGUCCACGCAGUAAACGAUGAUUACUAGCUGUUUGCGAUAUACGGCAAGCGGCCAAGCGAAAGCAUUAAGUAUUCCACCUGGGGAGUACGCCGGCAACGGUGAAACUUAAAGGAAUUGGCGGG
rnacentral:rRNA from 1 species